GGCCAAAAAAAAUCCCCAAAAACA
rnacentral:tRNA from 1 species